rnacentral:rRNA from 1 species
UACGUAGGGGGCGAGCGUUAUCCGGAUUCAUUGGGCGUAAAGCGCGCGUAGGCGGCCGCCUAAGCGGAACCUCUAACCCCGGGGCUCAACCUCGGGCCGGGUUCCGGACUGGGCGGCUCGAGUGCGGUAGAGGAGAGCGGGAUUCCCGGUGUAGCGGUGGAAUGCGCAGAUAUCGGGAAGAACACCGAUGGCGAAGGCAGCUCUCUGGGCCGUCACUGACGCUGAGGCGCGAAAGCUGGGGGAGCGAACAGG